UGCUGAGAUGGGCUCGCGUUCGAUUAGCUAGUUGGUAAGGUAACGGCCCACCAAGGCAACGAUCGGUAGCCGAACUGAGAAGGUUGAUCGGCCACAUUGGGACUGAGAACACGGCCCAGACUCCUACGGGAGGCAGCAGUGGGGAAUAUUGGGCAAUGGGCGCAAGCCUGACCCAGCAACGCCGCGUGAAGGAUUGAAGUUCUUCGGAUUGUAACUUCUUUGAUGGGGGAAGAAUAAAUGACCUACCCCAAGAACAAGCCACGGCUAACUACGUGCCAGCAGCCGCGGUAAUACGUAGGUGGCAAGCGUUAUCCGGAUUUACUGGGUGUAAAGGGCGUGUAGGCGGUUUCGCAAGUCAGAAGUGAAAUUCCCGGGCUUAACUCGGGCGCUGCUUCUGAAACUGCGGAACUUGAGUGCUGGAGGGGAUAGCGGAAUUUCCUAGUGUAGCGGUAAAAUGCGCAGAUAUUAGGAGGAACACCGGUGGCGAAGGCGGCUAGAUGGACAGUAACUGACGCUGAGGCGCGAAAGCGUGGGGAGCAAACA
rnacentral:rRNA from 1 species